GCAUCAUUGGUCUAGUGGUAGAAUUCAUCGUUGCCAUUCGAUUCUGUAAAAUUCGAAGCUUUCUCGAUGAGGCCCGUGUUCGAUUCACGGAUGAUGCA